rnacentral:rRNA from 1 species
AAGUUACUAGCCCUGAAAAUGGAUGGCGCUGAAGCGUCGUGCUUAUACUCUGCCGUCAGCGGCAUGUGCGACGUGGCGUUCGCGCGUCACGUCAUCAAGCCCUGAUGAGUAGGAGGGUCGCGGCGGUGUGCGCAGAAGGACCGGGCGUGGGCCCGUCUGGAGCCGCCGUCGGUGCAGAUCUUGGUGGUAGUAGCAAAUACUCCAGCGAGGACCUGGAGGACCGACGUGGAGAAGGGUUUCGUGUGAACAGCCGUUGCACACGAGUCAGUCGAUCCUAAGCCCCAGGCGAAAGCCGAUGUCGAUGUUGGUGUGUCGUAUGUGUGUCUGUGCGUUUUGCGUUUUUGCGUUAUUUUGCGAUAAAGUGCGAUUACGACAAACACCCGACUGGGCGAAAGGGAAUCCGGUUCCUAUUCCGGAACCCGGCAGCGGAACCGUUAAUAAGUCGUGCCCUCGUAAGAGAGUUCGUCGGGGUAACCCAACAGGACCCGGAGACGCCGUCGGGAGAUCCGGGAAGAGUUUUCUUUUCUGCAUGAGCGUUCGAGUUCCAUGGAAUCCUCUAGCAGGGAGAUAUGGUUUGGAACGCGAAGAGCACCGCAGUUGSGGCGGUGUCCGGAUCUUCCCCUCGGACCUUGAAAAUCCGGGUGAGGGCCACGUCGAGUUUCCUGCCGGUUCGUACCCAUAUCCGCAGCAGGUCUCCAAGGUGAAGAGCCUCUGGUCGAUAGAAUA